AUAAGACUGAGAUAGCCCAUUUAUACCCCAUACCCCCUCCAUACUGACUUCUAGGGUCAUGGAAUUUCACUUAAUGCAUAGAAUCGUAUUGCUAAAAUGCAGUGUCCAUUACUCAGCCUAUAAGACUGAGAUAUCCCUAUGUAUACCCCAUACCCCCUCCAUACUGACUUCCAGAGACAUAGAAUUUCACUUUGCAUACGGUCCUAUUGCUAAAAUGCAGUGCCCAUCACUCAGCCUAUAAGACUGAGAUAUCCCUAUCUAUACCCUCUACCCCCUCCAUACUGACUUCCAGAGUCAUGGAAUUUCACAUAAUGUAUAGAUUUCUAUUGCUAAAAUGCAGUGCCCAUAACUCAGCCUAUAAGACUGAGAUAGCCCAUCUAUACCCCCUCCAUACUGAGUUCCAGAGUCAUGGAAUUUCACUUAAUGCAUAGAAUCGUAUUGCUAAAAUGCAGUGCCCAUCACUCAGCCUAUAAGACUGAGCCCAUCUAUACCCCAUACCCCCUCCAUACUGACUUCCAGAGUCAUGGAAUUUCACUUUGCAUACAGUCCUACUUUACUUGUCCAUGGACAAGUAAACAAAGAACUCUUGUCCUUCAUGUUAAUCAAGAUACACCAAUCAAACAAGAGUUUUAUAUCAGAGACUUGCCAUGGAGGUAUCAUCUCUCAAGUCUCCUUUCCUUUAAGGAAAGAAAACCAUUCUGUCAUUGCUGUAGUAGUCACAGUCCCAAGUUUCUAAGCAGUGUUCAGUCGUCUUUUCUCAUGUAUUACCUUGAGUACUGAAUAAUUCUGUCAGAAAUAUUUUGUCCAUUGGAUUAGACUUUAGCUAGUCCAGCCCUGUGUGCAUUUAGCAAAGGGGCAAACACAGGUCUGUUAUCAGACAGUUAAAGUGCUCAGUCCCAAUUUUCAAGGCAUUGGCCAUUAAAGGGGGUAGAAUACUAUAUACUGUUGGCAUGCUGUCAUGGGUGCUAUCGCCCCAGGUCACAUCUUUCUAACUGAUGGAGAUACAUUUAUUUGCUCAUGAUAUUGUAUACUAGUCUCACAUGCUUUCUUAUUUCAGCCAAAAACCUCUGCACUGGAACAUUUUAUGUGGAUAAUCCUGACUAGGAAUUGAGUCUUUUCUCAAGGUCCUAAUACUACCCUUGCUUUAUGUAAAGAGGGUGCUGAUUACUUAAUGCCUCUUACACAAUUGUGCAAAAUUGCAGUUGUUCAAGUCCCCUUCUGUUAGUAACCAAGAUCCCAUACCCUCAUACCCUAAUGGGUGACAAUCAAGGGUGCCAACCAAUGAGACCACUUCUCUGUUCUGGUCUUUCUGCUGUGCUGGGGAAUCAAACCUUGAGUCUUGUGUACGCUAGUAAAGCACUGUCAUAGAGCUACAGCCCCACCGUGUGGUGGUUUGAGAGAACAGCCUCUUAUGUAGCCUGGGCUGGGCGGGACUUACAGGCAUUGCCACCUGUAAUGUAAACAUAUUUGUGCCUGUUGUGUGCACAGCUGCAUUUGUCCCUCUUCCUAAGCAUUGGAUAAAGAAACCAAACUAAGUCAAGUCAUUUUGUUGGUAAUCAAGAAGACCUUUGAUCUGUCCUGUUUUUAACUUCCAGGCUGGCCUGGAACUUAGCAUAUAACCCAGGCUAGCCUUGAGCUCAGGAUCUAGCCUGCGUUUAACAAGUGUUGGCAUAUCUGGUUCCUACCACUAUGCCCUGCAUGCAGUCUUUCAUAUUGUGAAUGUGCAUAUGUCAUUUCACUGUAGUAAUCUGCAUCUGGUGAAGACUUAUUUGUAUUGCAGCAGUAUUUAAGAUCCUUAACAUAGUAAAUGUGCACAGUGUUAACUCUAUUGUACAUAUUCUCAUGUCCACAGUUGUGCCUUUUAGAUCAGGACUCCUGUACUUAGCAAAGCAAAGAGGCUCACUAAUAUAAAGCUUCUUUCAUGAGACUAUAGAUUGAAACGAUUCCAAUACGGUCAAUGGUCCUUCAAGGUAAGACUUCUGUCUCUGAUCAUUCAUAUCCUCUUUGCUUUAUGGAAUUAUGUAUGUGCUGUGCACUUGAAACCCCUUCCUCAAACUAUUUAUGUACAUACUGGCAAUUUUAGUAGGAUCAAUUUUACUCUUAACUUUGAAGUACAGAAGUGGUGUUGACCUAUAAGGUCCCAUUUUGUGGCUUGCUAAUAAUAAUGACUGAUUGUAGUAGGCCUUUUCUGUUCACUACAGAAGGAAACCUGAACAGCGUAAAACUGUAAUGGCCAUAAACAUGUACCUUGCAUAUUAGUAUGCAUUUACUGCACACAUCUCAUUCCAUUUGGAUACGAUCCUACUCUCAAACCCUUUUGCAGUACAGCAAGGGUCACUAAUCUUUUGGCUUCUUCAUCUUCCUGGACACUGGAUAAGGCUGUCCCCUCCUUUCCACUCUUUAAUUUCCAGGACUAUUACUUUAAAGACUUAAUAUUUGCAUAAAGGAUGGGGUUUUUAAUUGAUAACAUGUCCCUUGAACAUUAAUGUAUAUAACAGGGACAUGAUCCAUUCAUUUUAAUAAAAAUACUUGGCCAGUUAAUGUGUAAAAUUACACUUAUCCACAACCUUAUUACUUUUCGGACCAUUGUAUCUCUUGCACUCCUGCAAGGGAUACCGUUUAUCUCCCAAGGUCCCUGCUAGUGGACCAUUAAUAUACAGUGAAUCUUCCUUUGUCUUUGCCAGUAAACAAAGGCCAUACUCCUUCGCCUUUCAUUUGCACUAUAUCAGGAUAUGCUGAUCAACAAGGCCGCAUUCUUUUGGACUGUUAUCAUAUAUUAAAUGUAUGCGUAUGCACUGCCACCUGCUCUGUGCACUUGAAAGGAUCCCACUCACUUCCUUAGCACCUUCAGCAGGAAGUGAUAAUAAGCUCAAGACUUUCAUUUGGAAAGUUCACAUGUCUAAGCACUUCUCUAAGAACUACUGUACCCUCUUCUCCGCUUUAAAGCAGAAAGAGGGUUGUACGAAGUGCUCUUCAUUUGGACUUAAGUGCAUUAAUGCAGUUAGUUGUCCAUCAUUACCUUUGGAGUUGGAUUUUACAUCCUUGUACUCUUUUGACACCAGAGGCAUAUUAAUUAUUUCUGAGCACUUCUCUUGUCAAUAUUAAUCUGUACCCUUACACAUAUGACCUGUGCGGCAGCAAAGGUUCUGAAAUGCCUACCUUUUGACUGGGGCUGCUGAGUGGUAGUAACUAUUAGUAACCUCAGCAUUUGGAUGAUUACUAUGCAAAAAUGUCAAGGACCUGUGUGCUCUCUUUGCAUACCAUCAAGGCUACUGAGUCCCAGAAUUAAUUGCUAAGUUAUGCGUAUUUAUAACUAUGAAUGUCUGGAAUAUUUUGUCCCCUUUACAUUAUUGCAGAGGUUGCUGAGCCCCCGAAACUACCCGGUACUGUCAAUGAGCACAGGGGCUCUGACGAAUGACCUGCUCUCUUCCUUAAACUGAUUUUGGGACUCUUAAUAGGCACAAUGGCAGUUCUGGAUGGUUUAUUUUCUACUCCAACUUGAGCAAAUCCCCUGCUAGUUUCCCAAUGAUAUAAUAAAGUACAGCAGUAUGUACACCCAACAAUGACCCGGAUUUCGACCCUUUUUGCAUUGCUUUAAUAUAUACAAUCCUAAAUAGUCACAAUCUCACACUUUAUAGUGUUCCUUUUGCCCGGCCUCUAGUUUGUCCAUUGACCACUUUUCUGAAUCACUAAUUCUCACAAACCCAUCAUUAAGGAAGAGUUUGUGCCCUUUCUCAAUUCCAUCAUGCCAUCCCUUUUGCCUCUUUGUUUGAACAGUAUUGACUGGGCAAAGCCCUUCUCUUGACUUAAAGUCAACAACACCAGUUUACUCACUUCAUAUGGCUACAGUGUCUCAGUUGCCUUCUCCUUGCUCCCACUGAACAGAGACACCUCGAAUUCUUACAUUAUUCUGGGUAAUGUUAAUUACCCCAAACACCCUAUGUGUCAUUAAUAAAUUUUGGUGUAUUUAUACACUGAAUAGCAAAAGCAGGCCAAAACUAGGUGGAUGAGCCUUCAAUCUUUAACUUGCACUUCUAAAUUAUUCCAAUUCCAACUGCUGGCACAUUCUAGGGCCAGGAACCAUUCUUGCCUACCUUUAUUAAUGCUUUAUUGUGCAAAAUAUUGCAGGCAAGUAGCUCAGGGAGUUGGAUUGCCACCUUUUACUUGGGGCUUUCCUUUACAGUAUGAACUGAAAAUUGUCUUCCUGAGAAGGAAGCUUAGCACUUUUCUUUCCGUUCUUCCUCCAGGAAGGAGCCAACUGUCUGCUUAAGAAACUUUAAGCCCGAUUUUGUAUAUUGCUACUGUACAGGACCAACUGCCAGAAAAGUUAUUGAUAAUUUUAUUCCUUAAGAAAGGCAUUUGGAUUGCAAGGUGGAUUGACUGUGAGAUCAUUAGCUUUUGUGAAGUAAAAAUAGCCAUUUGUGUCAUGUUUCUGAAGACUAAGCAGUGUCUCAGUGUACUGAGGGUGAUGAGUCUGUGGAAAGAUCAGUGCAACUAUUGCAGAAUGUUUAAGACAAGUAUCUUUGCUUGGUCUUUACUACAAGUUUAACAAAACGAAAAAGUCAAUCUUUGUGUGGCCUUUAGUAUGAUUAACUUUUUGGAAGAUGACCUAAGCCUUCUAAUCAUUAUAUUUUGUCUGACAUUGGUCACCAGUCCUUGCUUAUUUUUAAAAGGUGACUGGAUGGAUUAAAUUUGAGAACAUGUCAAGUCGCCUUUGAAAAUUAUAUAGGCCAUCACAUUUAAUUAAUUCAUUCUAUCCACCAUUAAACUCUGGCAAUAAUUUGAAGUAGCUUGAAAAUUCCUAAAGUGGGAAUUUAUUUUAGAGAUGAUAGAACCUGUUUCCCCACUUUACAUUUUAAAAUAUGUCUGCCAGGAUCUAAUCAUUCCUUUAAACGUACACUUCAAAGAGAGAUUUUCCUAGUAAGAAAAGAGCUUUCUCUAGUGUGAAGGGUGCUUUGUAGCCGCCGAGUACUUAGGUCUUUUUUGGGAGCUAUUGUGUAUGAGUGUAUGUAUGUGUGUGUGUACAUGCAUGUUGCUGCGCGCAGUCAUUCAUUCACAUGGUGCUCAGACAACAAUGGGAGCUGGUUCGUCUAUCUUGUGGGUCCUGGAGAUCAAAGUGAGAUCAUCAGGCUUGGCAGCAAGUGCCUUUACCCUCCGCGUGCCAUCUUGCCAUCCCGCUGCUGAGUGUUUGAUAUGACAUUGCUGAUGAAAAUAAUCAUCACAACAGCAGUUCUCCCAGCAUUACUGAGAAAUGAUACUAUUUUUCUGAGGAGGAUGUUCAAGUAACUCAUCCAGUGCAGGAUCCUGCUUGAACUACUGCUCCUCCGUUACAUCAGACUCUGGCUGUUUAGACUACAGGAUGAAUUUGGAGUCUGUUUUGUGCUCCUGCCUCAAGAAGAAGGAUUGCCUGGAUUUAGAGGAGUGAAGAGUGCUGGAGAGAGCCCAAAGGGACAAACAAUCCCUAUGUGAGACUCAAGGACUGCCAGCAGCCUAUACAGCUACAUUACAUCUCAGCAGAACUUCUCUUCAAGUCCUCGCUACUCUGAACAAAAAGCUUACAGGCCACAUGGAGAAAAAAAGAUCUCCCCCCAGAAUUGUGGGCUUGCUGCUUUGCAGUGCUGGCGACCUAUUCCCUUUGACGAUCCCUAGGUGGAGAUGGGGCAUGAGGAUCCUCCAGGGGAAUAGCUCACCACCACUGGGCAACAGGCCUAGCCCAGAUUUCAGUGAGACGCUUUCCUGAACCCAGCAAGGAAGACAAAGGCUCAAAGAAUGCCACCCUACAUCAAAGAGAAAAGCUGCUGCAAUAGUGGCACUGACCUUCGAGGAAGCCAUUCUGCUCUAUUUGGUUCUCUCUCCAGAAGCUAGGAAAGCUUUGCCAGCUGUUUACAUACUUCAAGAUGCACUGCUACCCUACUCAUGCCAUAUAAUACACAAUGCCAUCUACCAAAUAUUACCCUUCCCCAAAGCAGCACAGAAAACUGGGUCUUCAGCGUGAUCAAGCAAUGUGAACACACAAAAGGAAGGCAGCUUUAUAAAUGACCCGAGGAUCAACAUGCCUGACUGCAGCAUCUUAAAAGCAAUAGAAUGAGUGUGUAUUGUGGGUGUGUCUAUUUCUUGUUUUAUGUAUCUAUUUUUUCCUUGGUCUGUGUGUCUAAUUCUUUGUUACAUCUAUUUCUUCCUUGCUUUGUGUGUCUAUUUCUUCCUUGCUUUGUGUCUAUUUCUUCCUUGCAGUUGUGUCUAAUUCUUUGUUACAUCUAUUUCUUCCUUGCUUUUGUGUGUCUAUUUCUUCCUUGCAUUGUGUCUAAUUCUUUGGUAUAUAUAUUUCUUCAUUGCUUUGUGUGUCUAUGUCUCCUUGUGUUGUCUAAUUCGUUGUUGCAUCUAUUUCUUCCUUGCUUUGUGUGUCUAUUUCUUCCUUGCUUUGUGUGUCUAUGUCUUCCUUGCUUUGUGUGUCUAUGUCUUCCUUGUUUUGUGUAUCUACUUCUUCCUUGUGUGUCUAAUUCUUUGUUACAUCUAUUUCUUCCUUCCUUUGCAUGUCUCCUUCUUUCCUUUGUGUGUCUUUUCUGUCUGCAGUGUGUCUUACCUAUUCCCAUGUUUCUCCUGCAUGUUCUUUCUUGCAGAGCUUUGAGCUUUGUUUCACUUUCUCUGGUGCCUGUGUGGUCUGCUUUGUCUUCACUAGCUAUGGCUCUCUGUUUUAUCUAUCUGGUUGCUAUUUCUCUUAGCUUUUCUUUCACUCCUGCCUUUCGUGACUCCCCUUUGGGUCACAUGUUGCAUGCAUCCCUCUCUUUUUCUUGUGCUCACCCCACUUGUUCUUUGUUCAAGUUCUCUUUGUCAGUCCAUUUCAGUUUUCUUUCUGCUGCUUCUAUCCUUAGUGAAUUCUUGUUUACAUUUCUUCCCUGCCUUUCUUGGGCCACUUUCUCUGUUUUCUUUUGUAUUUGUGUCUCUUUGCUAUUGGUGGAUUUCUUAUCUCAGCAUCAUUCUGUUGCUUUGUGUUUGCUUGUGUUUCUAUCUUCUACUUUCCUCCUUUCUGUUCACUUUGAGCAUUUCAUCUCUUUACAAGUCUGUGUCUCUCUUGUAUUCUAAAGUAAUCCUUUCUUGGAUGUUUCUUUGUAUGUACAUGUGCGUGUGUGCAUGUGUGUUAUGUGUGUCAUGUGUGAGAGGAGCUUCAUAGCCCCUUCCCAAUAGGUCCAGAAUGUCACCCGUGGAGCCGUUCCUCACACCAGACUGCCCUGAGAAAUAAUCUAAGACAAAAUACAUCAUUCCGUCCGGUCAGGAUUCAAGUGGCUCUGAAGUGAACGCCCAAGUAGAAGACAGAAGUUUUGCGACUUGAGAUUUAAAAGGACCAAAAUACACAGAUGGCCCGUCUUGAGCUGGCUGGACAGAAUGCUGACAACCCAAAGAAGAGGAACUGUUUCUACAGGACACCUGUGACUUCCAAGAGCGGGGAACUACUUACUGCCAUCAAUAUUGCUACCAAUUAAGCACAUCCUACCAUCAUCUGCUUUGAUCACAUAAAUGAACUGUGUACCAAUCUGUUGUUGAAAGACUGGAGUCAUCUUCCCACCAACUGUGAAAAAACACAUGGAAAACACCUGGACUUUGUGAACGGAUGCGGAAUACAGAACUUCUGUUGACUCUUGGGUGUUUUGAAGACUUGAAAAAAAAAACUGUUGCUUACCAACAUGUCACAAUGAGUCCGUGUGUGGGUGGGUGGAUG
rnacentral:lncRNA from 1 species